ACAACCACGAUGUUGGAGAGGGAAGCAGCUACCUCAAAAGAAGGGAAUGAACGGUUGAGACCAGACAAUAUAAUAAGUGGCCACUCUCUGGUAGAGAAAGACUUUGGAGGUGGGUAGAAAUAUUUUAACUCUAUGCUGCUGCUUCCUGAGUGUGACAUUGAACUUGAGUCACUGUAGUGAGAUAUGAGGCAAGACAUUUAAAUUCCUGUCAAUGCUCAAUAACUAAUUGCUAACUAAAAUAAUGAUAAAGUACUAGUUAAAUGCAAGGUUCUAGUAUUGUUGAUAUAGUUUUGGUCUUUAAUUUAAAAUUUUUCUUAUCACGGUCUAGAUGGGAUACAAUUUCAAAACUGUUUUUUUUCCCUACACUGUGGCCACUUUCCCCAAGCAGUAUGUUCAAAUAGAUAGUAAGCUCCUGGAAAGCAUGGACAAUAUUUUCUGCAUCUUUUCUCUUCCCACAGCACAAAGGGCUGGGCUUAGGACUGUGUUAACAAUACUUGCUUAAAAAGCACUUGCUAAGUUGCAUCGUUGAAAAGAUUUACAGACUAGUCACAUUGGGAGUACAUACCCAAAUUUAGCAUUGCUUCUGCUGGUGUUCUAUGUCCUGGGCACAUAAGGAUGUCUGAGAAUAGGUAUUCAGAGUGUUAAUAUUCACUUUUACAGAAAAUGAGCAAAUGGGUGAUUUUUAUCAAUUUCUUUAACCUA
rnacentral:lncRNA from 1 species